rnacentral:rRNA from 1 species
AGCGAACGCUGGCGGCAGGCCUAACACAUGCAAGUCGAACGAAGUCUUCGGACUUAGUGGCGGACGGGUGAGUAACACGUGGGAACGUGCCUUUAGGUUCGGAAUAACUCAGGGAAACUUGUGCUAAUACCGAAUGUGCCCUUCGGGGGAAAGAUUUAUCGCCUUUAGAGCGGCCCGCGUCUGAUUAGCUAGUUGGUGAGGUAAAGGCUCACCAAGGCUACGAUCAGUAGCUGGUCUGCGAGGAUACACAGCCACAUUGGGACUGAGACACGGCCCAAACUCCUACUGGAGGCAGCAGUGGGGAAUCUUGCGCAAUGGGCGAAAGCCUGACGCAGCCAUGCCGCGUGGAUGAUGAAGGUCUUAGGAUUGUAAAAUCCUUUCACCGGUGAAGAUAAUGACUGUAGCCGGAGAAGAAGCCCCGGCUAACUUCGUGCCAGCAGCCGCGGUAACAC